rnacentral:rRNA from 1 species
GACGAACCGUGCGAACGUUAUUCGGAAUCACUGGGCUUAAAGCGCGUGUAGGCGGGCCGGCACGUCGGUCGCUGAAAUCCCCCGGCUCAACCGGGGAAGGGGCGCCGAUACGACCGGCCUGGAGGGGCGUAGGGGGACCUGGAACUUCCGGUGGAGCGGUGAAAUGCGUUGAGAUCGGAAGGAACGCCCGUGGCGAAAGCGGCGCUCUGGAACAUUUCUGACGCUGAGGCUCGAAAGCGUGGGGAGCAAACAGG